GCGGGUGUAGUUCAAUGGCAGAACACCAGCUUCCCAAGCUGGAUACGGGGGUCCGAUUCCCCUCACCCGCUCCA
rnacentral:tRNA from 1 species